ensembl:rRNA 5S_rRNA 5S ribosomal RNA
GUCUACGGCCAUACCAUCCUGGAUGAGCUUGAUCUUGUCUGGUCUCAGAAGUUGAGCAGCAUAGGGCCUGCUUACUACUUAGGAGAAAUACAAACAGGCUGCAGGAGAUC